rnacentral:lncRNA from 1 species
CCCAACACACAAUUUUAUACUAAGAGCUUAGAUGCCAACAUAUUCUAAAUUAACACUGCAAGUAUCCAAUUGUAUAAUUCUCGUCAUUUUCCAGCUCUAUGAAUAUAAACAUCACUUAAUUGGAUCAUUAAUGUCCUGACACUCAUUCAAGUCAAUUUUCUCAAAGCUUUAGAAGCAAUUAGUGAUUGUGUAAAGGUAUAAUUAUAUGAAGUCUGAAAAAUGACAGAAUCUAUUUUUCAAUUUCCAUCAACGUCCAAUUAUUUUUCCAAUUCUUUUUCACACCCUUAAUUAUAUCCAACGACUCUCAAAUUUUUACCAUACUUCUAUAACAUGUAUUUGAAGGUAAUC